CCGGAAUAUUGACGACUGCUCAACUGUCACGUGUCAGAUUUUUUAGGUUAUAUUAUUAUAAUAACUUUUUGUCUUUUUUUUUUAUAAUUCAAAUGUGAAAGGAUUAAUUAUACGAUUUAAAAAGUUAACAAUAAGAUGGCAUACAUGGGAAGAAAGCGUUAUGAGAUUCCAAUUGCCCCAAAAACCAUGAUCUCACUUGAAUCAGAACACAUAAAACCAAAUAUAAUUCAUAUAAAAACAGAGCCUCUCUCAAAUAGUUAUCCUGAAGAGUAUGUCUGCAUUCUAACAGAAAAUAGAAUAAGACAAGAAAUAUCAAACCUCAAUAAAAUAUCCUUUAUGAGAAAAAACAAAGAAACUUGUCCAAAUCCCAAGAACACAUUCAUUAAUACAUACAGUGUGUGUCCCACGUACGGAUGCGGUGCCCGCUUCAAAAAUUCAUGCGAACUUAUAAAACACAUUUCAGACUUUCAUGCCUCAUACACUCCACUAAACACGGAUAAUCAAAACAAACCAAAGGGACCUCAAAUAAAAUUAAAGUGCCUAGAAAAUGGUUGUCGAGGUACAUUUCAUGAUGUAACUGUACUGGAACAACACAUUAUAGCUUGCCAUAACUCGAAAACUCAAUCAAACUUCAAGUGCAACAUUUGUAAUAUCCCAUUUGAUUUUAAAUGGGAAUUGGAAGAGCACCAAACGACCAAAUCUUGUACUAAAGUGGAAAAAUGUUCUUAUUGUAAUAAGAGGUUUAUGACCCUAAGCGGUUUUCUUAUGCACUACAAAAAAUAUAUUGGUUCUAACCGUAACUGUUUUAAAUGUGGGGUGCAAAUAUGCAACUACAAAGAGUAUUGUAAACAUAAGAACUUUUAUUGUAAAGGACAAAUAGAAGAGAAAGUGAUCAGAAAUGAGUAGUGUCAGAUGGGGAAAAGACGGUUUAUAUUUUCGUAAAUGAUAAGAUACUUUGUGUAAAUUUUUUUAGUAUCAAAGUAUUUUUGUCACAUUGUGGUUAUGACAUAGUUGCCAACAUUUUUGUUAUAACAAUUAAGUAUCUUAAUCUUCAUUAUUUCUGAUGCCUUAAAAAUUAUUUUUUUUUGUUUUUACUUCAUUUCAUGAAUUGAAUUAUUAUUAUUGUAUUGUCAAGGUAUUCCUGAAUUGAAUAGAAUAUUUUUAUAAUUAGACAUAUUUUAAUAAAUUGAUAUUUUCUCAAGUGUAAA